rnacentral:lncRNA from 1 species
GUGGGCAGCAGGACUGAACAAGCUGUAAAACAAAUGAGCUGAAACUUGCUGCCCUCCCACCCCCAUUCACUGUGCUGCAGGCAGUGGAAAGAAGAGAGAGAUGUAUCACUCCUUGAGGGCUCAGACCUCAGGACUCCCCAAGCAACUGUAACACCCCUUGGGCUCCACAGUUGCUGGCAUCUCUGAGUUUUCAGAAGCCACUGCAGCCUCCUUGUCCAGACACUGGCACCCAAGCAGAAAUGAUUCAAGACAGCACACCCGGACCAGUCAUGGACUGAGCACAGAGUUGGCAGGCACUGGAUCCAGGCCCAUAGCACAAGCUGAGUGCAAUCACUGGGCUGAGUGAGAGGAGUAAGCCUAGCAGAAAACCCAGUGCCAAGCAAAGCCUGAGCAAAGGCACCACUAGCCACAGAGCUUUCCUGCUGGCAAAGGAGCACCAAAAGAAUCCUGUGUCAUUUCUGGGGGUCAUCUGAGAUCUGCAAAAGGCAUGAAUACACCCCUUUACUUGAAGAUGAUGCAGAGACUUCUGCCUUUCAAGAUAGCACAUCUCCCUCUGAAGAUUCAUCUCAACCUUUGCUUGGAGCAUCUGGUGACUGAAGAAGAGGCCAAAUCCAUGAAUAAUCAUUAUACAAUGAGUGGGCAACAUUAUAUGGUGAUGAUUCAACCAGUCCUUCUUCACAGAAACCUAUGACCAUUUACUCAGAAUAUGAAAAUAGAUGCAAUUUAAGUUGGGAAAAGUCAAAGGUGACAUUAAAAAAUAUUUCACAACUAGCUGAAUUUGUGUGCAGCACAUUGUUGCUCCAGCUUAAAAACCUCCUGUGUGGUAAAUGCUUGGCAGCCCUGGGGAAGGCAAUGAACACGGUGAAAUUCAGUGCAGUGUGGUAAGACAAGGAGAGCAUGAAUAAUAUUUGGAGAUCUAGCACACCUUAGUGGAAACAAUUAUUAUUACAACUGCUUUGAAGACAUUUGAAUUUUAAACUCCAUUGUUUGUGAAAUUCUAUUUUGACUAAAUAGAGGGACUUUGUUCAGGCUUUUGUUGUCUUUAGCAUGAUGUGUUUCUUUCCUAAACUCCACACAGAUAAGAAGAUAAAUUUGAUCAUGAAUUUCUAAAAGUAGAAAUCAUAGGUUUUUUAGAAUUAGCAUAAAAUUAUUGUACAACCCUCCAUGGGCUAUCAAAUUGGGAGCAAUCCAAUUUUAUUUGCCAUCAUGGUCACAUAUAAAGUGUCAGAUUAUUCUUGUUAGAUGAUUAUUGUACAUUUAACUUAGAAAAGCUUCUCAGGUCUGCUCCUGAGAUGCUUGAAAGACUUUUGGUUUAAAUAGGUUGCAUAUGUUCUGCUGUUAAUGGCUGACCGUUUUUAUUUCAUAUUACUAAAAUGUAAUCAAGAAAAAGAGAGUAGAAAAUACAUCGCAAAUAUUCAGUCUACUAUCUAGACAAUUUCAAAAGCUUUCAAUUUUAUCUCCUGUUCCAUUAUCUUCAAUUGUAGAGUUUGGAUAGGAAAAGAAUUCAAAAAUAAAUACAAAACAUUCAUUCCAAUACAUGAAGAAAAUUAGCCCUGUUCAUGUACAUUUUCUAAUAUGGAUAUGUUUCUAAAAAUCAGAAUAUAAUAUUUAUGGAGUCAUUAGUAAAAUGCACUUGAUUAUCUAAGAAUCUCAACUGCUUGAUGCUUGAUCAAAAACUAGGUAGAAACUAAAUCAUGCCUAUCAACAAUUAAAUAUUUCUGAAAAGGGGACUUCCAAAAUGGUAGAAUAAGAAGCUCAGCAAAUACUUUCCCUAAAAAGUGACAACAGGGGUGGAGCCAAGAUGGCUGAAUAGGAAUAGCUCCAGUCUAUAGCUCCCAGUGUGAGCGACACAGAAGAUGGGUGAUUUCUGCAUUUCCAACUGAGGUACUGGGUUCAUCUCACUGGGGAGUGUCAGACAGUGGGUGCAGGACAAUGGAAGCAGUGCACUGAGUGUGAGCCAAAGCAGGGCAAGGCAUCACCUCACCCGGGAAGCACAAGGGGUCAGAGAAUUCCCUUUCCUAGUCAAAGAAAGGGGUGACAGAUGGCACCUGGAAAAUCAGGUCACUCCCACCCUAAUACCGCACCUUUCCAAUGGUCUUAGCAAAUGGCACACCAGGAGAUUAUAUCCCACGCAUGGCUUGGAGGGUCCUAUGCCCAUGGAGCCUCACUCAUUGCUAGCACAGCAGGCUGAGAUCAAACUGCAAGGUGGCAGUGAGGCUGGGGGAGGGGAGCCCACCAUUGCUGAGGCUUGAGUAAGUAAACAAAGUGGCUGGAAAGCUCGAACUGGGUGGAGCCCACCGCAGCUCAAGCAGGCCUGCCUGCCUCUGUAGACUCCACCUCUGGGGGCAGGGCAUAGCCAAACAAAAGGCAGCAGAAACCUCUGCAGACCUUAAUGUCCCUGUCUGACAGCUUUGAAGAGAGU